GUUGGACGGGCCAGCAUCGAUUUUGACCGGCAGAUAAGGUCUGGGGGAAUGUGGCACCCGUUUGGGUGUGUUAUAGCCCUUGGUGAUAUGCUGGUUGGGAUCGAGGAACUCAGCACGCCUUCAUGGCCGGGGUUCGCCCACGUAACGUGCUCAGGAUGCUGGCAUAAUGGCUUUUAACGA
rnacentral:rRNA from 1 species